rnacentral:rRNA from 1 species
CCCCUAGAUGUUCUGGGCCGCACGCGCGCUACACUGAACAGUUCAACAAGUCGUAACCUUGGCCGAUAGGUCUGGGUAAUCUUUGAACGCUGUUCGUGAUUGGGAUAGACCUUUGCAAUUAUGGGUCUUCAACGAGGAAUUCCUAGUAAACGCAAGUCAUCAGCUUGCAUUGAUUACGUCCCUGCCCUUUGUACACACCGCCCGUCGCACCUACCGAUUGAAUGGUCCGGUGAAAUCUCGGGACGGCGGCUUGGUCGCUUGCGUCCGACUGCUGAAACUUGAUUAAACCAUAUCAUUUAGAGGAAGGUGAAGUCGUAACA